rnacentral:rRNA from 1 species
CCAGACAGCCAGGAGGUUGGCUUAGAAGCAGCCAUCCUUUAAAGAAAGCGUAAUAGCUCACUGGUCGAGUCGGUCUGCGCGGAAGAUGUAACGGGGCUAAACUAUGCACCGAAGCUGCGGAUUCAAACUUUGUUUGAGUGGUAGGGGAGCGUUCUGUAAGCCGUUGAAGGUGAACCGGGAGGUUUGCUGGAGGUAUCAGAAGUGCGAAUGCUGACAUGAGUAACGAUAAUGCGGGUGAAAAACCCGCACGCCGGAAGAC